rnacentral:rRNA from 1 species
UACAGAGGGGGCAAGCGUUGUUCGGAAUUACUGGGCGUAAAGGGCGCGUAGGCGGCGCGGUAAGUCGGGUGUGAAAUCUCGGGGCUUAACUCCGAAACUGCAUUCGAUACUGCCGUGCUUGAGGACUGGAGAGGAGACUGGAAUUUACGGUGUAGCGGUGAAAUGCGCAGAUAUCAGGAGGAACACCAAUGGCGAAGGCAGCUCGCUGGGACGUGACUGACGCUGAGACGCGAAAGCGUGGGGAGCAAACAGG